rnacentral:rRNA from 1 species
CCUACGGGUGGCAGCAGUGAGGAAUAUUGGUCAAUGGACGCAAGUCUGAACCAGCCAAGUAGCGUGCAGGAUGACGGCCCUCCGGGUUGUAAACUGCUUUUAGUUGGGAAUAAAAGGGGGCUCGUGAGCCCCGUAUUGUAUGUACCAUCAGAAAAAGGACCGGCUAAUUCCGUGCCAGCAGCCGCGGUAAUACGGAAGGUCCGGGCGUUAUCCGGAUUUAUUGGGUUUAAAGGGAGCGUAGGCCGGCUUUUAAGUCAGCUGUGAAAGUCCGCGGCUCAACCGUGGAAUUGCAGUUGAAACUGGAGGCCUUGAGUGCACACAGGGAUGCCGGAAUUCAUGGUGUAGCGGUGAAAUGCGUAGAUAUUAGGAGGAACACCAGUGGCGAAGGCGGCCUGCUGGACUGUAACUGACGUUGAGGCUCGAAAGCGUGGGGAGCAAACAGGAUUAGAUACCCUAGUAGUC